GCGCCGUUAGUCUAGUGGUUAGGAUGCAACUCUUCCACUACUGAAAGUUGCGGCUCGGGUUCGAUUCCCGAACGGCGCA